rnacentral:lncRNA from 1 species
GCCACUAGUCUAUUCUAUACAUGCCAUAAGAUAAUCCAAAACGUAGCAGUACCAAACAAUGGAUAGUGAUAGUGUGACUAGUUGCUGAUGAUCCCCGAGCUUGUAGCUUCCAAAUGAGAUCUAUAAAACAGAGCAAACAGAGUAAACGGAGUAAGCAUUACAAUGCUUAGUAAGUUUUAAGCAGUGUCAACAGAUAACAAUCAAAUUAUAACAUAGUUGUUCGUAUAGUUUAUUUCACUCUUCCUUCGGGCAUACCAUCCCUUUUUCCGAAUAUGCACAUCUCAUCAUAUACAAUAGGCAGAUAAACUUUCAUAUAAAAGUGAGCUCAUGUGACAUAGAUAUAUCGUAUGAUUUCACAUAACCUCUCACACUGAUCCGAUGUCACAUAAUCAUAGGAAUAGUCUCAUAGAUUGCUCUCUAUGCAUCACAUAACUACCUUAUGAUUUAGUGCAAAUCAAGCUCACAUAUAAACUUGGAGUACAUACUUGUUUAACCUUUCGCAUUGAAUAUAUUUAUAAGCAAUUCUUAUUACGAAGUCUUACCCGGACAUAAUCUCCACACGAAAUUAUCGGGUCUUACCCGGACAAAAUCCCCACACGUAGUCAUCGGGUCUUUAGAGCUCAGAUAUAGUACGAGCACGAAGCUUACGGACAUUAAUCAGUGAUAAUAUUCUCGCAUAAAGCCUGCGGGGUUUUAACCCGGAUAUAGUGCUGACACAAAUGCCCUUCGGGACGUAUCACAUUUAUACACUUUCACAUCCAUCACGUUGGCCACUCGGCCCUGUCACAUAUAUACACUUUCACAUUCAUCACAUCGGCCAUUAGGCCUUAUCACAUAUAUACACUUUCACAUUCAUCACAUCGGCCAUUAGGCCUUAUCACAUAUAUACACUUUCACAUUCAUCACAUCGGCCAUUAGGCCUUAUCACAUAUAUAUACACUUUCACAUUCAUCACAUCGGCCAUUAGGCCUUAUCACAUAUAUACACUUUCACAUUACCAACCCUUUUAUUCAUACACAAAGAUCAACUUAGCCAAAGGCCGGUAGCUCAUUUAUCAACUGAGCGAAUACUUAUUUGUAAGGGCUCAACUAAUUCAAAGCACAUACGAAACAUACCUCAAUGUUUGGAUGUUUCAAGCGUAUUAACUAAAAUUUUUACAGCAAGAUCAUUCAUUCCCAAAUCACAUACCUUCGGAAUUUAACCGGAUAUAGCUACUCGUUCAAAUGCCUUUGGGACAUAGCCCGGUUAUAGUAACUCGCACAAAUUCCUUCGGGACUUAACCCGGAUUUAGUAACUAGCACAAAUGCCUUCGGGCUUAGCCCGGAAUUAGUAUCUCGCACAAAUGCCUUCGGAUCUUAGUCCGGAUUUAGUAUCUCGCACAAAUGCCUUCGGAUCUUAGUCCGGAUAUGGUCACUUAGCACAAAGCCUUCGGGACUUAGCCCAGACAUCAUUCAAAUAACCAUGCACAUUUAACAAUAAAUCAUGGCACAUUCGUAUUUCAUUUUCGUUAGCAAAACUCAAACACAAGACACUUAUCAUUCUUGCAAUUUCGGCUCAAUAGCCACACACAAAGAGCAUGAUUUUGAUUUGCUUAAAACAUGAUCUAAUCAAAUCAUAAUUUAAGCUCUAUUACUCAAGAACUUACAAUAUCACGAUUUAGAAUUCAAGUAUGGGUUUAAUCAAUAGCUUGUGAGCAACUAAAACAAGUUUAUCAAGGUUCACAACAUAAUCUCAAAUUCAGCACAAGCUGUUUUUCCUGAGCAAUAGUCACUAAAUUAUUUAUAACUAGAGCUAAAAAACUCCAAAUCACUUUCCGUUAAUUUUUCCUGAAUAUAGACUCGUAUAUCUUCCACCCAUAAAAUUUCCAGAAUUUUAGGUUUGGCCAAUCAAUACCAGAUUUUUCUUAAAGUUUCCCCUGUUUCACUGUUUGACUAAUCUAACCACUCUUCACUACGAAUCAAAUUUCUCAUUUUACAGAAUUCAAAAUGUGUUUUAUUUGAUUCCAUUUGAAACUAGACUCAUUAAUGAGUCUAAGCAUAUAAAUUUUAUCUUAUAAACAUUUUUUUACAAUUUAUAAUGAUUUUCUAAAAACAGAACAGGGGAUUUCGGAGUCAUUCUGACACCGUCUCACACAACUUUAAAUAUCUCAUUAUCGGAAAUUCCUUUGCUUACACGGUUUCUUUUAUAAGAAACUAGACUCAUUAAGCUUUAAUUUCAUGUCUCAUUCAGCCUCUAAUUCAAGUCCAUAAAUUUAUGGUGAUUUUCUAAAGUCACGUUACUGCUGCUGUCCGAAGCAGACUAUUUCAAAUUACCCUUAAAUUCCCAAGCUCAAACACUUAAGAACUUACCAUUUGAGCUUAGAACAUAUCAUGGCCACAUCAUAUCUUAUUAAAUCAACUCAUCAUGUCCUAUUAUAAUUGAAUUUACUCAACGUUUAAACACUUAAAACUUACCUUGGAUGUGGUCGAACAAUUUCGGCAGCUAUUCGAUCACUUCUUCCCUUCCCUUAUCCAACUUUGGUCCUCUAAGCUCUUGAGCUUAAUUUAACAAAUAAAUUGAUUUAAUCAUUUGAGCAUCAAAAGAGGAACUCAAGGUACUUAGCCCAUAUAUACAUACAUUAGACAUUAAAGUCACAUACAUAUGAAAUCAUAAAUCAAUUCAACAUAUUAGCCCACACUCUCUUUUAGCCGAUUGUCUAAGCCAAGAUAAAAGCAUCAAUAUGCUUGCCUCUAGCCGAAUACAUGCAACACCAAGCAAGAAUGAUGCAUCCAUGGCCGAGUAUCAUCUUCAUAACUUUACAAAAACAUUUGCCAUGAGCUAGCUUCUAUACUUGGUGGCCACUCCAAAUAUACAAAGAUUUUCAAUGAUAGAGCAUUAACAUACCUUAAUACAUCAAAAUAAUUAAAUUCUUCCCAUGGCACACUAAAACCGAAUAUGUCUUAUUCAAAUAUAAAUUCUCAUAUUUCAUUUAUUUAACCAUUUAACCCUCCUAUCAAAUAAUUUUCACAAACUAAUCUUAAACUCAAAAUCACAUAAAAUCGUAACACAAAAGGCAUUCAUCUAACACUUGAUUUCUAAAUUCUAACAUCAAACUCAAAUUUCUUAGCUCAUCAACUCAUGGCCGAACAUCAAUUAUUCACCAAAACAAAAAUUAACUCAUGGGUUUUAGAGAAAAUUAAGUAAGGAAUUCAAUGAUACUAAAAAUUAACAAAAACAACCUGAAUUUCACCUUGAAUUUUUGCUUCCAAAUGGCCGAAACUUCAAAGCCACAAAUUUUAUUUUCUUUCUCCUUUGUUCGGCCUCCAAGAUGAACUACAUGCAUGUUCUUUUUUUCUUUUUUUUUAUGCCCCAUACCGUCCAUAUCAAUUGUCUAAGGUUAAAUAUCAUCACAAAUACUCCAACUUACAAAAACAACUUCAAUUCGGCCCUGAAGAUACAAACAUGCAUGGCUUUCCAUUUUAUGUUUUAUAAUACUUAUUUUUAUGUUUUAUAAUACUUAUAAAAAUAAUUAUCUCACAAAUAACUUUAAAAUAAACAUAUAAAGACAUCAUGCAUUAAGCCAUUACCAUCCAUAUAUUUAUUAAUGAUAUAAUUGCCAUUCAAAACCUCAAUAUUCUAAAGACAUAACACUUUAACAUUUUCAUGAUAGCAUGCUUAUUAAUCAAUUGAUGCAUUUUAAUCCUUUUUAAUGACAUAAAGAAAGAAAGAAAAAUAUUUACCAAGAGUUUCAAACUACUUGGCCGAAUAUCAAACCUCCAAACAACCAAAAAAUUUAACUCAUGGAAUGGAUAGAAUUUGAACAAAUCACCAAAAUUAUAUAUAAAUUUUCAAGAAUUUCAAAGUACUUACCUCUUUCUAAAUAUUCUCCAAGCCGAAAUCAUACAAAGAAAUUUUUUUCUUCCUUCUAAUCUCAAGUUACGGCAAUGGUAGAGUGAGGAUGAACCAACUUUGUUUUUAUCACCCAUUUCUUUUAAUAUAAGUUCAUAUUUCAUAUUAUUUAUUCAUUUAACAUUUAAUUUAUUAAUAUAAAAGGCAUAUAUUUUGUAUCCCAUGCUCCUUAUUUUAUCAUACUUCCCAUGAAACACUAACUUAACAUGUUUAUGACAUGUUCUUGCCCAUCACACUUGGUCUACCAUACUUGUCAUGGCCGGCCACUACUAAUUAGGGGGGAAAUUGACAUGCAAGUCCCCCCUUUUUAUUUCAUGCACUAAUAGAUCCUUAUGCUUUGACCUAUCACAUUUCAAAAUUUUCUCACAUAAGUCCUAUUUGAUAAAAUUCACUUACUAUUAACAAAAUUCAAACAUGAAAUUUUCACACAUGCAUAUGUACAUAUAAUGAGCAUCAACUAUGACGGUUAAUUAUCUUUAUGACUCGGUUUAGUGGUCCCGAAACCACUUUCCGACUAGGGUCACUUUAGGGGUGUCACAGAUUAUGCUUAUUCCAAAGAUUAUUAAUCCUUCUAAUCUGACUCAUUUUCGGCCAAUUAGUCUCUGUAAUGUUAUUUAUAAACUUGUGGCAAAGGUGAUUGCAAAUAGAUUUAGAGGAGUCAUUGAUAAAUGUAUUGAUGAAGCACAUAAUGCAUUUGUGCUAAGGAAACUCAUAACAGAUAAUGCACUAGUGGCCUAUGAAGUUUUACAUUCAAUGAAACAGAAGAGAGGGGGGAAGAAGGGAUUUAUGGCCAUCAAGUUAGAUAUGAGUAAGGCCUACGACAAAGUAGAAUGGAAUUUUAUUCAAGAAAUUAUGAGUAGAAUGGGUUUUUCUCAAAAAUGGAUUGAAUCUAUUAUGAAAUGUAUCUUUAGUGUUUCUUAUUCAGUAGUGGUUAAUGGUAACAAAAGAGAUAUAUUCUAUCCAACAAGGGGACUUAGACAAGGAGAUCCAUUAAGCCCUUUUUUAUUUCUGAUAUGUGGAGAGGGUCUAUCAGGUCUAAUGCGAAUGGCUAUUAGCGAAGGAGUUAUAAAAGGUGUUAAAGCUAGUAGAAGUGGCCCCAGGGUGUCUCAUUUACUAUUUGCUGAUGACUGCAUAAUGUUUUAAGAAGCAACAAGAAGGGGAGUAAGAGCAAUCAAGCAGAUUUUGCGUGAAUAUAAAAAUAGUUCAGGUCAGUUCGUAAACUUUGAAAAAUCAGCAGUAUUUUUUAGCAACAACAUAUCUGUGGAAGUUAGGCAAAUAGUGAUCACCCAAUUGGGAAUCCACAGCUCCAAUGAAUUAGAAAGGUAUUUAGGACUGCCAAGUUUAGUUGGGAAAAGGAAAAAAGAAUCUUUUCAAGCAUUUAAGGACAAAAUGAAACAGCGGAUUGAUAAUUGGUGUAUGAGAUUACUGUCUCAAGGUGGAAAGGAAAUAUUUAUUAAAUCAGUUUUACAAGUGAUACCGACUUACUCAAUGGCUUAUUUUUUUAUUACUGAAGACAUUAUGUGAUGAAAUGGAAGGCAUUGUAGCCAAGUUUUGGUGGCAAAAGGGACGUGGAAAGAAAGGAAUUCAUUGGUGUUUAUGGAGAAAUAUGUGUUCUUUAAAAGAAGUUGGAGGUAUGGGUUUCCGAAUUUUUUGCCAAUUUAAUGUUGCGUUAUUAGCCAAGCAGGGCUGGAGCCUUAUUAAUAAUCCGAGUUCCUUAUUAGCCAGAGUUUUUAAAGCCAAAUAUUAUCCAUAAUCAAAUUUUUUAAACGCAUAGUUGGGUUAGUUACCUUCAUAUACCUAGAAGAGCAUUUAGGCAGCACGAGGGCUCAUUCAGGAUGGGUUGUGUUGGAAAGUCAGUCGAGGGACCGAGAUUGAUGUCUGGACUGAUUGCUGCAUUCCUGGAUGUGAAGCCAUUGGUAGACAAGGUAGAGAGACAAACAGUGAUGUCCUAUUAGUUUCGGAUUUAAUCAAUAAUACUAGUAGGACUUGGAAGCGAGACCUGAUCAAUAAUACCUUUCAAUCAGGCAUAGCGCAAAAAAUUUUGAAGAUUCCUUUGGCAGAGUCAGAACAUGUUGACUUUCAGGUGUGGAAAGAGGAACCUUCAAGGGAGUUCUCAGUAAGAAGCGCCUAUAAACUAUUACAUCAUUCUAGCUCGAAUCCUAAUAUUUAUCCAUUACAACCCAAAAUAAGAAACUUCUAUAGAAAAUUGUGGGAUUUACAGCUACCGGGUAAAAUAAAGAUACUAGUUUAGCGAAUUUCCUGGAACUACAUCCCUUCCCUAAUAAAUCUAAGAUCCAAGAAAGUAAUAGAGAAUGCUCUGUGCCCUCGGUGCAGACUCAAAGAGGAAGACAGUAACCAUAUCUUUAGAUUUUGUCCUGCAAUCAGUGAAAUAUGGAAUCUCAUUAAUCUCUCUUAGACCAUUGAUCAUGAUAAUCAAAGUUUCUAGAAGUGGCUUAUCUGGGUUUUUGAAAGGAGUACAAUGGAGCAAUGUCGGUCCUUUUGUUGUGCGCUAUGGUGCGUUUGGAGUUCCCGAAAUCAGCUUGUACAUGAAAAGAAAAUCAUACCAGUUAGGGAUUUAGCAAGGAAAGUCAGCAGUUACAUAGCAGAACUGGAAGGGAUCCGAAUGAAAACAUUUACCUCUUCUUCCAAAAGGGACAACAGUUAUACUAGGGCGACGGAGGGUACCACAGUUCAGUUUGAUGCCGUUUUUGACAAAAGAAAUGAUAGAUCUGCCUCAGGUAUAGUCGUUCGAGACUAGACAGGAGCUUUAAAAGCCUCAAAGUCAGUUAUACAUGAGGAUACCCCGACCCCGUUCGCAGCAGAAGCCCUCGCAGGAUUAGAUGCCAUUAAGUUAGUAAUAGAAAUGAGGUUAACAACAGUAACAAUAGAGAGGGACUCGAGAAUAGUCAUUCAAAAAUGUCAAUCGACAGAAAUUGAUAAGUCGGUCCUUGGGGUGAUUAUUUAUGACAUACAGACCAGAAAAUCCAGGGGUUCAAGACGUUACUUUCAAGUUUAUCCAUAGAACGAAUAACAUUCAAGCCCAUAAUCUAGCAAAAAAAGGGUUGGAGAGAAGGGAGGACUCAUACCUGGGAGGGAAGACGACAAUUCAUAGAGUUGCAGACUCAGAGGGAAGAUGGAGAGAAUCGCCAGAUUGAAGAUGAAUGGACAAGGAGUAGGGUGCAGUUAAGGGUAGCAAGGAAUUGAUAUCUUAGGGAACGACUAUCUGCAAAGGCAUGGCUGUUGGGACGUGAAAAGACGAGUAAAGAAUUAAAUGGCCAGGCUGUUAGAUGUGACUGGGAGAUUUUCUGUUGAUUUCCUUUUGUUUUUCUAUUUUUUUAUUCUUUAUUGUCUUUUAUCAUCAUUUCUGAGAAACGGGCUAGCUAUUAAGGAAGCCCAACUUAGUUUGUUUUGUUUGUUUGGCAGUCGGACUUAAGCCCAAAUGUUAAUUUGGGUAUUGGUUUUAUUCUAUUUGUAAAGAGCCC